UACGGAGGGGACUAGCGUUGUUCGGAAUUACUGGGCGUAAAGCGCACGUAGGCGGAUUUGUAAGUCAGGGGGUGAAAUCCCGGGGCUCAACCUCGGAACUGCCUUUGAUACUGCAAAUCUCGAGUCCGGAAGAGGUGAGUGGAAUUCCGUAGUGUAGAGGUGAAAAUUCGUAGAUAUUAGGAAGAACACCAGUGGCGAAGGCGGCUCACUGGUCCGGUACUGGA
rnacentral:rRNA from 1 species